UACGUAGGGUGCGAGCGUUGUCCGGAAUUACUGGGCGUAAAGAGCUCGUAGGUGGUUUGUCGCGUCGUCUGUGAAAUUCCGGGGCUUAACUUCGGGCGUGCAGGCGAUACGGGCAAUACUUGAGUGCUGUAGGGGAGACUGGAAUUCCUGGUGUAGCGGUGGAAUGCGCAGAUAUCAGGAGGAACACCGAUGGCGAAGGCGGGUCUCUGGGCAGUAACUGACGCUGAGGAGCGAAAGCAUGGGUAGCGAACAGGAUUAGAUA
rnacentral:rRNA from 1 species